AAUUUUACACGCCAGCGGCAACAAGUGCCGAAAAAACAAGUAACUACUUUGACAACGUGGAUUAACUACUAAUUAGGAAUUAGAUGUAAUCUCCGCCAACAGCAAAAACAAACCCUUAUUUAAUCCUUCAAUUCAUUUUAUUCCUCUCUUCCUCCUUCUUCUUCGAUUUCUUCAAUCUUCUCAAUUUCGUUCUUCCACUAGAUUUGUUGUCAAGUGUCGUUGCUUCUCCUCCAAAACUCGUCCUCAUAUUGUUGUCAACAAUCACUCCAUGUUCUUGCUGAACAGACUUUGGUUUGGUAGCACAACAAAGGCAACAGGGAACAUGGAUUCAUCCAUUGCUCAAGGACCAGAUGAUGACAGACCAGCACUAGGUCAACAGUUUGCCCAGUUUGGCGCUGGCUGCUUUUGGAGUGUUGAGCUGGCCUUCCAGAGGGUAGCUGGGGUGACCAAGACCGAGGUAGGUUAUAGCCAGGGACUUUUGCAUAAUCCGAGCUACGAGAGUAUCUGUUCAGGGACCACAGGACACUCAGAGGUUGUCAGGGUCCAGUAUGAUCCUAAAGAAUGUAGCUAUGAGACAUUGCUUGAUGCGUUCUGGGUUAGACAUGAUCCAACCACACUGAACCGACAGGGGAAUGAUGUGGGAACACAAUACCGGUCAGGAAUAUACUAUUAUACCCCUGAACAAGAGAAAGCGGCCCGAGAAUCGUUAGAACAACAACAAAAGAAGUUAAACAGGAAGAUUGUUACUGAGAUCCUUCCUGCCAAAAAGUUCUACAGGGCAGAAGAGUAUCAUCAACAGUACCUUGAGAAAGGGGGUCGAUUUGGUUCCAAGCAAUCUUCUUCCAAGGGAUGCAAUGAUCCUAUUCGAUGCUAUGGUUAAAUUAAUAUGAAAAUCACCAUUAACAUCUAGAAGACAAGUUUACAUUGUUGGAAAAUUAUAGUAUUGUUGAUUUUUCUAACGAUUAGUGGCCGAUGCUAUGGUGCACAAAUGACACAUGUGGUGCACGGUGCAAGAUCAAAUUUAAGUGUUGGAUUAAAUGCUCCUUAGGAUAACGGCAUGGUCUGUCACACUUGAUUCCGCUCUCAAGCACUCCAUUAUCCCCUCCUCUCCCUCAAGUUCUUCCAUCAGGAGUUUGCCACCCACACCAUAACACAUUCCUCCCCACAAUGAAGCCUACACCUUGGGUCCCUUUCAUACCAACUUUUUUACAAAUUUGGUUUGGAUUUUGAAAAAGUUGUUGACUUUAAGAAAAAUGGUUCCCUUUAACAGUUUCACAACACAUAAAUGCCAUGGAUCUUGGAGACAUUUGACAAAUUGUUGACUGUGCUUGAAAAAUAAAAAUGUAAAACAGAGAAGAAAGAACACAUGGUUGGCUUUCAAGCCACUUGCCAAUGCAUGUUCUUCUCUCCAUUUACUCAGACUUGAUUUCCAUGGAUACGAAAUCUCGCUCUGUUAGGGGUGAAAGGAUAGUUUGCCUGAGUCUCAUGUUUGUUUGGAACUUGGGUUCUUAAAUUCACAAUUGUUUGUUUUAUAUUUUUGCUGUUAUCAUUUGGGAAUUUGUGGUUGACUGUAGUGCCGUUCUGGGCAGAGGAGAGAAGAUGCUCAAUGGGGGAGCCAUGGAGGUAGAAAGGAGAUAGGAAAAAGUUUACUGUGAAAGAACAUUAUAAAAUCUAAUGAAACUUCAAGUUCAAAAUCUAACGGUUAAUAAAACUUGUGCAAGAUGCACCACAUAAUGUAA